rnacentral:rRNA from 1 species
UGUGUCACACGGGACUGCCGGUCCUUAAGCCCGGGAGGAAGGUGGGGAUGAUGUCAAGUCAGCAUGGCCUUUAUAUCCUGGGCUACACACACGCUACAAUGGCCAACACAAUAGGUUGCUAAGCCGCGAGGUGGCGCCAAUCCAUAAAGUUGGUCUCAGUUCAGAUUGUAGGCUGCAACCCGCCUGCAUGAAGAUGGAGUUGCUAGUAACCGCAGGUCAGCUAUACUGCGGUGAAUACGUUCCCGGGAUU